CUGACGAUUAAGUGCGAAAGCGUGGGGAACCAACCAGAUUAGAUUACCUUGUUGUUCACGCCGUUAACGAAGGCGAUUUAGAGGUUGGAGUCUUUCCCCCUGGCUUUCGGAAAUUACGCGUUUAAUCCACUCCCCGGGGAGUUCGGGCCGCAGGGUAAAAAUCAAAAGGAAUUACGGGGGGCCCCACCAACGGGGGAGCAAGUGGUUUAAAUUGAUACAAAGCGAAAAACCCUUCCUCAUUUUGACAUUCCGUGAAUCCUUCAGAGAUAGAGGAGUUCCUUUGGGGACUUUGAAACAGGUUCUGCAUGGCCGUCGUCAACUCGUGUUUUGAAAUGUUGGGUUAAGUUCCCCAACGAGCGCAACCCUUAUCCUUUGUUGCCAUCUCGUAAUGGUGGGAACUCAAAGGAGACUGCCGGUGAUAAACCGGAGGAAGGUGGGGAUGACGUCAAGUCAUCAUGGCCCUUACGAGUAGGGCUACACACGUGCUACAAUGGCAGAUACAAAGAGAAGCGACCUCGCGAGAGCAAGCGGAACUCAUAAAGUCUUUCGUAGUCCGGAUUGGAGUCUGCAACUCGACUCCAUGAAGUCGGAAUCGCUAGUAAUCGUAGAUCAGAAUGCUACGGUGAAUACGUUCCCGGGCCUGUACACACCGCCCGUCACCCCAUGGGAGUGGGUUGCAAAAGAAGUAGGUAGCUUAACCUUCGGAAGGGCGCUACUCGU
rnacentral:rRNA from 1 species